rnacentral:rRNA from 1 species
GAUGAACGCUAGCUACAGGCUUAACACAUGCAAGUCGAGGGGAAACGACAUUGAAGCUUGCUUCGAUGGUCGUCGACCGGCGCACGGGUGAGUAACGCGUAGCCAACCUGCCUCUGACCAAGGGAUAACCCGUCGAAAGUCGGCCAAAUCCCUUAUGCAGUUGUCGGAAGUCAUCUGAUGACGACGAAAGAUUUCAUCGUUGAGAGGUGGGUAUGCGUCUGCUUAGCUGGUUGGCGGGGUAACGGCCCACCAAGGCAACGUUCAGUAGGGGUGCUGAGGGGCAGGCCCCCCGCAUUGGAGCUGCGGCACGGUCCACAACCCGACGCGAGGCAGCAGUGUGGAAUAUUAGGCACUGGGCCAGAGCCUGAACCAGCCAAGUAGCUUGCAAGAUGACUGCCCUUUGGGUUGUAAUCUGCUUGUAUGCAGGGACAAAGGGAGGGACGUCUCCUUCAUUGAAGGUACCGCAUGAAUAAGGACCGGCUAAUUCCGUG